rnacentral:rRNA from 1 species
CCUACGGGGUGCAGCAGUGAGGAAUAUUGGUCAAUGGGCGAGAGCCUGAACCAGCCAAGUCGCGUGAGGGAGUACUGCCCUAUGGGUUGUAAACCUCUUUUGUCGGGGAGCAAAAGCCGGACGUGUCCGGCUGUGAGAGUACCCGAAGAAAAAGCAUCGGCUAACUCCGUGCCAGCAGCCGCGGUAAUACGGAGGAUGCGAGCGUUAUCCGGAUUUAUUGGGUUUAACGGGUGCGCAGGCGGAUUUUUAAGUCAGCGGUCAAAUCGUGGGGCUCAACCCCAUCCAGCCGUUGAAACUGGGGAUCUAGAGUGCGGGAGGGGCAGGCGGAAUUCCUAGUGUAGCGGUGAAAUGCGUAGAUAUUAGGAGGAACACCGGCGGCGAAGGCGGCCUGCUGGACCGUAACUGACGUUGAGGCUCGAAAGCGUGGGGAGCAAACAGGAUUAGAUACCCCGGUAGUC